GAUGAACGCUGGCGGCGUGCCUAAUACAUGCAAGUCGAGCGAACAGAUGAGGAGCUUGCUCCUCUGACGUUAGCGGCGGACGGGUGAGUAACACGUGGAUAACCUACCUAUAAGACUGGGAUAACUUCGGGAAACCGGAGCUAAUACCGGAUAAUAUAUUGAACCGCAUGGUUCAAUAGUGAAAGACGGUUUUGCUGUCACCUAUAGAUGGAUCCGCGCCGCAUUAGCUAGUUGGUAAGGUAACGGCUUACCAAGGCAACGAUGCGUAGCCGACCUGAGAGGGUGAUCGGCCACACUGGAACUGAGACACGGUCCAGACUCCUACGGGAGGCAGCAGUAGGGAAUCUUCCGCAAUGGGCGAAAGCCUGACGGAGCAACGCCGCGUGAGUGAUGAAGGUCUUCGGAUCGUAAAACUCUGCUAUUAGGGAAGAACAAAUGUGUAAGUAACUAUGCACGUCUUGACGGUACCUAAUCAGAAAGCCACGGCUAACUACGUG
rnacentral:rRNA from 1 species